GCUUUAUAGAAUUUUGAAUUUAUAUUUAUGACCGAAAGACUUAGAUUUUGUAAUUAACUGCUGAGUACUAAAAUGGGUUAGGUAAAUUUGGUUUGAGAUUAGUUACAUGAGGUGAUAAAUUAGUCGUUAAGUUUUAUAUCUGUUUAAUUGUUGUAUUUUCUAAGUGUAUCCUAGGUUAUUAUAUCUGGUAUAAUAUUAUAUUGUUAUUAAUAAUAUAUUAUAAAUGGGUUAAAGUUACCUCAUUUUAAUAAGUUUGUUAUAAAUUUGGUGAUUUAUAUAGUAUCAGUUAGUUUGUUAUGCACAAUUUAUUUAAUAUUUAGUUUAUAAGUAUUAUUAAAUGAGUAAUAUUAUUAUAUUGGUUAUUUCUCAAGUUUUGCCCGUCUGUUUAUUAAAAACAUUUCUAAUUUUUAUGAUAAUUAGUAUGACCUGCUCUAUGCUUGUGUAAAUGGCCGCAGUAUAUUGACUGUGCGAAGGUAGCAUAAUUAAUUGCCUCAUAAUUGGGGGCUUGUUUGAAUGGUUGGACGUGGUGAUAGCAAAUAUCCUUUAUUUUAUUGAAAUUGAUUUGUGUGGGCACAGAAUCCUCAUAUAUUAAUUAGACGGAAAGACCCCAGGAUCUUUCUUUUUUUGUCUGGGGCAGAUGUUAGUAUUUCACUAUUAUUUGGACCCUGAUAUAGUUUAUUGAGUUAAGUUACCCUGGGGAUAACAGUGUAAUAGCCAAUGAGAGAUCAUAUCGAAUUGGCUGUUUGCCACCUCGAUGUUGACUUAGGCAUAAGUAUGGGCGCAGUAGUUCAUUAUUUAGGUCUGUUCGACCUUAUUCGCCUCCAUGAGUUGAGUUAAGACCGGCGUAAGCCAG
rnacentral:rRNA from 1 species